GUGUUAGAUUCCAGGAUGUUUUCUGGUUUCACACCUGUUAUGGAUUGAAUUGUGUCCUCCAAAAAUGUGUGUCAAUUGGCUAGGACAUGAUUCCCAGUAUUGUGUGGCUGUCCACCAUUUUGUGAUUUGAUGUGAUUAUCCUACGUGUCAUAAAUCCUAACCUCUAAGAUAUUAAUGAGGCAGGAUUAGAGAGUUAUGUUAAUGAGGCAGGGCUCGAUCUAUAGGAUUAGUUUGUAUCUUGAGUCAAUCUCUAUUGAAAUCUAAAAGAGAGAAUCAAGCAGAGAGCAGAGGGACCUCAUGCCACCAAGAAUGAAGCACCAGGAGCAGGGUGUGCCCUUUGGACCCAAAUUCCCUGUGCUGAGAAGCUCCUAGACCAGAGGAAGUUUGAUGACAAAGACCUUCCCCACAGCAGACAGAAAGAAAAAGCCUUCCCCUAGAGCUGGUGCCCUGAAUUCAGUCUUCUAGCCUCCUAGGCUGUGAGAAAAUAAAUUUCCGUUUGUCAAAGCCAUCCAUUUAUGGUACUUCUGUUAUAGCAGCACUAGAUAAAUAAGAUGGUACCCAACACAUCUGUGCCUGUAUAUAUUACUUCCUGCUCUUGCUCCUAUUUGCCCAUAUUAUCCAGGAUUAACUGAAAGAAAGUCACUUCUCAGGAACAGUGCUGACUGUAUUGUCAGAGCAGAGCAGGCAGUCACUGACUUCAGUCUAGAUUCAAAAACUGAGGUUUUACUUUCUGAAGAGGUAAGAUGGAAAUCAAUAUCCAAUCCUGCUCCUUCUAAAGCCUGGUAGCCAUCCCCAUGGAGGCGGUCAGCAGCCCUGGUGCGGAAGGUGGGAGGCUGGCCUCUGACUGGAAAAAAAAAAAAAAGAGGUGUGGAAAUGUGGAAGUCGGGGUGGCUUCCCUCAGAAUUCCCCAAGCUCUGCCACAGAGGGCCGUGCGAAGCUCUCUCAGAGAGUGGGUGGGGCUCCGUCCUACAAAGUGAGGGACCCAGGGCGGGUGCCACAGCCACUUCCCACAUCCUCCAUGGCCUCUGCCCCUGUAGGGCCCUUCUAACUUUUUAUUUUCAGAAAUUUCAGCCCUACAGAAAAGUUGGAAGCAUGAUAAAAUUAACCCCUGUUUAUUCUUCAUCUGGCCGUUGACGACAUUUUGCUUGAAAAAAUUCUUUAAAUAAACACCUUUUCUGCCUGCUCAGGCAGUAUCUGUUCACAGUGACCAAGGAAGUUUCACAGAGGAAACACAAAUAACAAGUAAACAUGUGAAACAUUGCUCAACCUAACUUCUCUUAAAAAUACAAAGUAAAACAAUGAGAUACAAUUCUUCAUGAUAUUAACCAGCUGCGGGAGGAAGCGCAGAGGAAAUGAGCCCUCUCUCUUAUUUCUGUUGGUGGGAGUGUAACAGUACAGUCUCUGGAGGGCAUAUUCACAGUGGGUGGGUAUUCCUUGCAGCAUGGGUUAUAGCAGUUAAAAGCUGGAAACAGUCCCAAAACAGGAUUGGGUUAAAAACAAACAAACAAAAACACAUAUUCAUAUAAUGAAAUAGUAUAAAGGCAUAAAAAGCUAUAUUGGAAAAAAAAAAAAAAAAAAAAAACCAGUUGCCUUGAGUGAAUUCCAAUUCAUGGUGACUCCAUGUGUGUCAGAACAGAGCAGACCCAUAGGGUGUUCAAUGGCUGUGAGGUUGCUUGCCAGGCCUUUUUUUCUGAGGCAUCUCUGGAUGCUUUUGAACUGCCAAGUGCUUAAUCAUUUGUGCCACUCAGGGGUUCUGUUAUUACAGAAAUAGAUACAUUGCCCAUGAUAUGUAAUUAAAUUAAAAAAAAAAGCAGUUUGCAGAGAAAUAGAUGCAGAAUGAUUACAUACUUAUGAACAUAUAUAUCAAUAUUUAUGUAUGUAUAUAUAUAUAGACAAAGUCUGGGAAUAAAUAUCAGUAUACUCACAGUGGUUGUGUUUGGUACUAGGAUAACAGAUUUUAAUUUUUCUCUUUAUUUGUAUCUAUAUUGUCUACUUUUCAUAAUGCUCAUGAAUUUUAUAAUUAAAAAAAAAUUCACAGCCAGUAGAAAAGUUGGGUUUUAUUGGUUUGUUUAUUUUAAUCAAAUGAAGAAUGUCCAGAAGUCAGACAUAACUACAAGGGAGAAAACCCUGUCCUCACUGGCACCUGCAUCACUGUGGAAAGGAAAAAGCCCACAUUCUGUUUGUUCCUCGGCACCCCAGGUCUUCUACAGUCUCCUCCACUCCUCAGUUCUCUCCAAAUACCCCAAGCUCCACUCACACUGAGCUUUUCAGCUUCCACUAAACGCACUAAGCCCUUUUAGGACUCCUCUGCCUUGCACUCCCUUCCAGCCCUCCUCCAACCAGUAAAUUCUCCUCAUCACGAAAACCACCCUAACUGUCCUGACCUGUUGAAGCUUCCUUAACCCCUGCAGGUGGGGCCAGUUGCUUUCCUGGCAUCACAAUCUACCUACAGGUCUAUAAGCCAGAGUAGCAAGCUCCUGGCAGGAGGAACUUUCCCUGGUGCCAGCCCAAUGUCCAGCAUCUAGCAGGUGCUCAGUUAAUAUUUGCAGAAUGACUGAAUGAUUGCAGUGAGUACUGAGACUGGAUGGAUGGGUUGGAGCAAGAUUGUGGAAUUCCUUUAAGGCCAGGUUAAUAAGAAGAAAGCCAAAGUUUUGGGGCACCUUUGUCCUGGGGAUCAGAUGACCUCUCUUUUUAUGCUCGUUCCCAUGUUAACACUGGCAACAGCAGGUAGAGCAGGAGUGGCUUGACUAAAACUUCAAAGCUAGGAGGCUUUUGGACCACCAGAAUGCAUAUCUGCAAAAUAGUCCAGAAAUGGCAGUGGCCUGCCAUUCUCACAUGGUGAUCUGGCCCCACAUCACUGGCCCUGACCUGACUCAGUGAGGGCAAUGAUAGAAGGGGAAGGAUGGAGGCUCCUGACCAAGCCAGGCUUCAGGAAAACUCCUACCCCCUCAGCUGCUGAGCUGAGGAUAACCCACCCUCAAACACAAGUGUCCCUAAAAUGCGCUAUGUGGCCAGAGUCUGGUUAACCAAAAGGUAAACUGGACUUUGAAACGAAAAUAUUUGUACUGAAUUAGGACAAAUGGGCUCCUGGUAACCAAGGCCCAGAUGUGCAUGAUUCUGGAAAAGGUUGGUUUUCUACUGCUGCUGUACAAAUUACCACCAACUCGGUGGCUUAAAAUAACAGGGUUUAUUAUACUUACAGUUCUAAGUAUUAGAAGUCCAGCACAGGCCUUUUGGAGCUACAGUCAAAGUGUCUGUCAGCAGGACUGCAUUCCUCUCUGGCGGCCCCUCAGGAGAAUCCAUUUCCUUGCCUCGUCUAGCUUCCAGAGGCCACCCACAUUCCUGGGCUCCUGGCCCCCUUCCUUCCUCUUCAAAGCCAGCAGCGUUGCAUCUUUCUGACCAUUCUUCCAUAGUUGCAUCUCCCAGCCAGGAAAGGCUCUCCACUUUUGAGGACUCAUGUGGUCGGAGUGGGCCAUCUCAGAUAAUCCAGGUAAUUUCCCCAUCUGCAAAAUCCCUUUUGCUGUGUCAGGUAACAUAUUUGUAGCUUCUGGGGAUUAUGACACAGACAUUUUUGGAGGGCCAUUACUCUGCCUGCCAUAGGGGGUGAUAUGGAGAAAAGCCUAAAAACAUUAAUAAUAAGACAGUUCUGUAUUUAAUGACAUAGAAAAUAUCUACGAGAUGUUGUUAAAGAAAAAUAAGUGAGUUCAGUAAGUAUGUAUACAGACUGAUCCAACUUUGUGGGACCUCAUCCCUCCCACCCCUGCCCCCAGCACUAAACUCCAAUUGCACACUCACUGAGCCACCUCCUACCUGCCAUGGCCUGACCCCACCAAUGAGUGGUGGAGCCCAUCUCACGCCCUCAUACCCCCAGAACACUGGGCACCCAGAUGGGGGAGUCUCAGCUCAGGUUUUGCUAGUAUGAGUUAUUAGAUAAAUGGAUAUUUCUCACUGACAUAUGAUAAACUGUCUUUUAGUAAACUCAUUUGUGAUGAGUAGAUCUACAGUUAAUCAUAGCAAUAACAAUAAAAAUAACUAAUGGAAAAUUCUCACAAACCUACCAACUUCCUAUUCCCUGGCAGCUUCUUUGUGCCCUAACUCUUCCUACCAUGAGUAUGGGCAGUUCUUGUGUACAAACCCUCAUCUUUUUGUCUGUUUAUUUUAUGCUUUACAUUUAUGAUUCUUUACUAAAUAAUUCUUCCUGGUUUCUUCACAGUCAUCUUUUAGAAGACGAGUUUAGAAAGGUCCAAGAUACCAGAGGGUAAAGAUCAUAUGAUUUUUAUAUACUCAGCUUUCAAGUCUGAGAAGUCAAUCAACAUGAACACCUUAACUGGCUCCUGUUCAUCUGACCUCUGGUUCUUGGGACUUCAGCUAGCAGCUUACCUGCCAUCUUGCCUGCGGAUCUUGGGAUUCAUCGAUUGGUCUUCCCAGCCUCUGAACAAGAGCCCUGCUGUCUGACUUGGCAAUCUUGGGUUUGCCAGCCCCUGUGGCUACAUGAGUCAGGAGAAGCCUCCAGCUUGACCCACGUCCCAGCCUCCACAGCCACAUGAGCCAUUUCCUUGAUAUAAAUAUCUGUCUAUAUAUAUUUAGAUAUAAAUAUAUAAAUAUCUGUCUAUAUACAUUAGGAAACCGUGGUGGCGUAGUGGUUAAGUGCUACAGCUGCUAACCAAGGGGUUGGCAGUUCAAAUCCGCCAGGCGCUCCUUAGAAACUCUAUGGGGCAGUUCUACUCUGGCCUAUAGGGUCGCUAUGAGUCGGAAUCGACUCGAUGGCAUUGGGUUUUAUAUAUAUUCAUACACUUUACUGGUUUUACUUCUCUAGAGAACUCAGCCUAAGACAACUGCCAAAUUAUAUAAUUACAUAACUGACAAACCACUGAGAAUCAUGGUCCAACCAAGUUGACACAUAAUCUUAAUCACAGCCAGAAUUACUCUCACCUUGCACCUCAGUGUUUGUUACUGCCAGAUGUAUGUCGUUAAUGCACAAAAUAGUUGGAUAGUAGAUUUUUACUAUUGCCAUAAGUGCAAAACGUUGAAUAAUGGAAGUGGGUAUAGUACUUAACAUUUGCCACAAAGCCUGCAGUCAACUAGCAUUUGCCAAACUUUAUAGAAUUAACACAAAAACCUGAGGAUUUCCAGCCCCUAACAGGUGCUCCUUGGAAACUCUAUGGGGCGGUUCUACUCUGUCCUAUAGGGUCGCUAAGAGUUGGAAUUGACUCGAAGGCACUAGGUACUGGGUAAACAGAUCUGACCAGGAAGUACUUAUGAAAAGGCAACAAUCUUCAAACUCCUCAAAUUAUAUUAUUUAAAAGCCGUCAUCUCUGGGUUGUCAGAUUGCUGAUGGUUAUUUUCUUCUUUAUAGUUUUUAGCAUAUCCCAAUUUGCUAUCAUGUGCAUAUAUGAAUUAAAAAAUAAUACCACACAUGUUGGUGCUUCUUCCUGCUUAUCUGCUUCCCUUCAACUUCUCGUAUGCUCGUAAUCCUUGUCCUGGUCUCCAAGCCACCCAAUCACUCCUUCGACCAACUCCUUCUCAGGAAGCGCCCCAACAUGACUUUUCUCGUGGAAAGAAUGAGGCCCUUGGAAUCAGAUGGAUCAGUGUUUGAAUCCCAGUUCAGUAUGAUCUUGGAUGUCUCAGGCUGGGUUUUCUAGAGAAGCAAAAUCAGUGAAGUGUGUAUAUAUAUAUAUACAUGUAUGUAUAGAGAAAGAGAGAGAACUUACAUCAAGGAAAUGGCUCACGGGGUUGUAGAGGCUAGAAAGUUCCAAGUCUGUGGGUCAGGCUGGAGGCUUGUCCUGACUCACAUAGCUGCAGGGGCUGGCGAACCCAAGAUUGGCAGGUUAGACAUCAGGCCUCUGGCUCACAGGCUGCUAUGGCCGACGAAUACCAAGAUCAGCAGGUCAGCUGCUAGCUCAAGUCCCAAGAACCAGAGGUCAGAUCAGGAACCAGCUGCAGGAUCCAGAGUGAGCAAAAGCCAGCAAGCUUUGCCAGAAAGUCAGCAUAUAUUGGAUGCAGGCCACAUCCUCAAAGAAACUCCCUUUCAACUGAUUGGCUGCUCAUAGCAGAUCUCAUCAUGGCAGUGAUCACAUUAUAUCAGCUCUCAUUAUGGAGGUGAUUACACCAUCAUGCAGCUGCCAAACUACAUCAUAACUGCCAACCCCCUGAGAAUAUGGCCCAGCCAAGUUGACACACAACCUUAACCAUCACAUUGGUGAGCAUCUUACCUCUCAGAGCCUCAGUCUCCUUAACUGUAAAUGAGAAUAUUGCCUACCUUCUAGAUCAUUGUGUAGUUUGGAUCAGCACUUCUCAAACUUUAGCGUGUAUAUAAAUCACAAGGGAUUUUGUUAAAUGCAGAUCCUAGUUUAGUAGGCCUGGAGUUGGGCUCAGGUGUCUGCAUUUCUGGGAGCUCCCAGGUGUUGCUGAUGCUGGUGGUCCGUGGACCGUGCUUUCAAUAGAAGGCAUUAGAUGACAUAACGUUUGAAAGACUCUGGCACAAAUGUCUGAUCAAUGUUAGUUCCUCUCCUCUCUAGUUGGCCUGGCUUUUCCGGUUGUUUGGAUGAGUCUGUCUUGGAAAACUGCUAAGAUCUACCUAGGUGCAUCCAGGCUCAUUUGAGUUUAAUCUGUUCCUUACUUUCUCCCUCACUUUAUCAUCCCUCUUUUUCUUUUGGCUGCCUACUAGUAAUAUAGGUAAUUGUGAUUUUAGAUUUUUUUUAAUGGCUUUGUUGAGAUUCAAUUGACAUACCUAAACUACACUUAAAGUGUACAAUUUAAUAAGUUCUGACAUAUGUAUACACGUGUGAAACCAUCAGCAAACUCAAGACAAUGAACAUACGCCCAAAGUUUCCUCAUGCUCCUGACCAUCCCCACCCCAUGAGGAACCACUCCUCUGCUUUCUGUCUCUAUAGAUUAGUCUGCAUUUUCUAGAGUUUUAUAUAAACAGAAUCAUACAGUAUAUACUCUUUUUGAUUUGGCUUCUUUCAUUCUGCCUAAUUAUUUCAUCCAUGUAAUUUUGUGUAUCAAUAAUUUGUUCAUUUUUUUUUCUUUUAAUUUCUGGUAGUAUUCCAUCACAUGGAUAUACUCUUAACCCGUUCCCAUUGAGUCGAUUCCGACUCAUAGUGACCCUAUAGGACAGAGUAGAACUGCCCCAUAGAGUUUCCGAGGAGCACCUGGUGGAUUCGAACUGCUGACCUUCUGGUUAGCAGCCGUAGCACUUAACCACUACGCCACGAGGGUUUCAUCAUAUGGAUAUAGCAUAAUUUAUUUAUCCAUUCAUCUGUUGAUCUUUAAAUUUUUUCCAGUUUUGGGCUAUAACAAAUAAAGCUGCUUUGUAUA